rnacentral:rRNA from 1 species
AGUGAACGCUGGCGGCGUGCUUAACACAUGCAAGUCGAACGAGAACGGGUUAUAGCUUGCUAUAAUUGUCAGCUAAGUGGCGCACGGGUGAGUAAUGUAUAGGUAAUAUGCCUCUUACUAAGGGAUAACAAAUGGAAACGUUUGCUAAUACCUUAUACUCCUUAUUAACAGAAGUUAAUAAGGGAAAGAUUUAUUGGUAAGAGAUUAGCCUGUAUUGUAUCAGUUAGUUGGUGGGGUAAUGGCUUACCAAGACUAUGACACAUAACUGGUUUGAGAGGAUGAUCAGUCACACUGGAACUGAGACACGGUCCAGACUCCUACGGGAGGCAGCAGUGGGGAAUAUUGCACAAUGGACGAAAGUCUGAUGCAGCAACGCCGCGUGGAGGAUGACACAUUUCGGUGCGUAAACUCCUUUUAUAUGAGAAGAUAAUGACGGUAUUGUAUGAAUAAGCACCGGCUAACUCCGUGCCAGCAGCCGCCGUAA